UUUUCUUUUCACUCUACUCACAACGUAUCACUCCUUCCUCACAAAAUAGUGGCUGUCUGACCCUUUCUUGUUCAUUCUUCUAACGUUUUAAUAUUCCUUACAAAAAUAGUGGCUCUCUAAUCUCCUUUUUCACUCUACUCUAAAACCUUUUCUUUUCACUCUACUCACAAUCUUUCACUCCUUCCUUACAAAAUAGUGGCUGUCUGACCCUUUCUUGUUCAUUCUUCUAACGUUUUAAUAUUCCUUACAAAAAAUAGUGGCUCUCUAAUCUCCUUUUUCACUCAACUCACAACCUUUUGCUUUCUUCCUUACAAAAUAGUGGCUGUCUGACCCUUUCUUAUUCAUUCUUCUAACGUUUUAAUAUUCCUUACAAAAAUAGUGGCUCUCUAAUCUCCUUUUUAUUCUACUCACAACAUUUUACUUCUUCCUUACAAAUAGUGGCUGUCUGAUCUCUUUUUAAACUUUACUCACAACUUUUUACUUCCUUCUUACAAAAUAGUGGCUCUCUAAUCCCCUUUUUUCACUUUACUUACAACAUUUUCCUUCUUCCUUACAAAUAGUGGCUGUCUGAUCUCUUUUUAACUUUACUCACAACUUUUUACUUCCUCCUUACAAAAUAGUGGCUGUCUGACCUGUCUUUUCCCUCCUGUCUGCAUGGUAAGGUGUGGUAGCAGCCUUUCUUCCCUUCCUCAGGUGAUUCUUACGCGUAGACAUUCACUCACUCACGGCAAGAUAUUCCUUUCUAAUUAUCUAACGACUGUUUUUGCCAUGAUUUCCACUCUUCGCAAUAUAAAGCAAGUCAACAACCUCCUUUAUUCAACAAGUUAUUUCCAUUCUUAAUAUUUAGCGUCAGUCUUGUCAUAAAUUCCACUCUUCAUAGGAUAAAAAGCCUGUUAGCAACCUUCUCUUGUUUUCUUUGGGUGAGUCUCACUUAUUCACUCACUCACUUACUCACCACAACCCCGUCACCAGCUGUCCGCCUCCUUGCCUCAUCAAUCUCCCGCAGGCGACAUUAACAACACCUUCAUCCAAACGAAUCCUCUGCUUAAUUAGUCCCGUUUCCCUCCACCUGUCAGCCCGGGGUCAUUUUUCACCUGCUCAACCUUCCAAACUCUCCUUCCUCACGCUGGUUCCUUCCGCGCACUGGUCCCCUUCAUCACGACUUUAGUACUUCAAGUUUCUGGUCACGUUACUUUCUCGUCCCUCGAUAAGGUAUACACACACACACUCACACACACACCUGGUCUCACUCUGCCCCUUACAUCACCACCUGUUCAUGAUUUGCAGCCCAUAACAGACCCUCGAGCUUGGUCCUUAAGUCCUUUCCUUCCUCUAAGUCCUUCUCCUAUGUCAUUCCGUUCUCAUAAGUUCGUCCCUUCACCUAAGUCCUUCUCUUCUAAGUUUUUCUCUUCUCUUAUGUCCCUUCCUUCCCCUAACAUCUUCCCUCCCUCUGAGCACUUCCCUUUUCUAACGUCCCUCCCUCUCAGUACUUCCCUUUCCUAACGUCCCUCCCUCUCAGUACUUCCCUUUUCUAACGUUCCUCCCUCUCCUCACGUUUCUCCUUUCCCCUAAUUAAUUUCCUUCCCUAUGUCCCUAAGUCCUACUCCAAAAGUCACUCUCUGAUACUUCCUAGGGACUCACACAUCCUCUUCCAGUGUGUUGCCUCCCUCAUAUGUGUAUUUCAACAAGUGGUACACAUAUAAACAUCACAUACAGUAACAGCGAUGCAUAAGAAUAAUGAUUUGGUUGAUAAUAUCUAUACCACAUGCAACAGUAAUUGAUUAUAGGGUGACAUCAAGCAGUACACGGAUAACACAAAGACAUGCACACAGUAACUAAAACAUACAUAAGAAGAGUGAUUUGGUUCAUAAUAUCUAUACCACAUGUGACGGUGAUUCUAGGGUGUGUGAUAUCAAGCAGUCGGUACCUUCAAACAUACCAACACAAAGACAGCAUUUUAACAGUAACUUCAGUGUGUUAAUCAGAAUAGCGAUGUGGUCGAUAAUACUUGUGCCGGGUCUAACGUGAUGCAUGUAUCGUAUUAAGUGACGGUGAUCAGUAGCCACAACGAAGCAUAGCCUUAUAUACAAUGAUGCGUUGGUGAUCGGUGGAAAAAUGAAAAACAUCUUGGUAAUGGAAGUAAAAACGCAAAGAAAAGUUAGACGCAGAUGAUAUGGAGUGAAGUAGUGGGAUCAAAGAAAAGAAAAAGGAAUGAAGAAUAUGUUAGAAAUUAAGGAAGAAGUCAAAAGUAGUUCUAGAAGGGAGCAAAAAAUAUAGAAGUACGAGGAAUGGAUAAUCUGGAAGUAGUAAGAAAUGAACGCCGAAGAGAGCGAUUAGAAGGGGAGACUCGUGAACAGGGUGGAAAAAUUAUGAUAAAAAGGUAAAAAGGUGAAACGUAAAUCAGGAAAAUAUGAAAUCAAUGAAGUGAGAAGCAGAGGAAAGAAGUAAGACAGGCGGGAAAUCCGAACAGACUCUGGGAUAAGACAUAAUAAGAUGCAAAAGAAUAAAACAAAACAAAAAAAUGAAGGAUAUGAAAGAGACAAAAUUAGGAGGAUGGAACACACAGGUCAGUUUCAGCUUACGAGAGAAACAGAAAAGCGAACCGUGAUGAAAAGGAGUAAAACAACAACAAAAAUGAAGAGCCUCGUGUUUCGCACCGCGGGGAGAUGAAACAAGCACGCGAACCAUUGCCUGCGAAAAGAUACAUAAAUAGAUAAAGAGAAUACACUCAACGGAUACACCUGAAACACCUAUUGCCUACUAUCUUCCCUGCUAUGAACAGGCCUAUCAGAGGUCUCAACGUUCAGCACUACUUUCCCUGCUAUGAACAGGCCUAUCAGAGGUCUCAACGUUCAGCACUACUUUCCCUGCUAUGAACAGGCCUAUCAGAGGUCUCAACGUUCAGUACUACUUUCCCUGCUCUGAACAGGCCUAUCAGAGGUCUCAACGUUCAGUACUACUUUCCCUGCUAUGAACAGGCCUAUCAGAGGUCUCAACGUUCAGUACUACUUUCCCUGCUAUGAACAGGCCUAUCAGAGGUCUCAACGUUCAGUACUAUCUUCCCUGCUAUGAACGGGCCUUUCAGAGGUCUCAACGUUCAGUACUACUUUCCCUGCUAUGAACGGGCCUUUCAGAGGUCUCAACGUUCAGUACUACUUUCCCUGCUAUGAACGGGCCUUUCAGAGGUCUCAACGUUCAGUACUACUUUCCCUGCUGUGAACAGGCCUUUCAGAGGUCUCAACGUUCAGUACUACUUUCCCUGCUAUGAACAGGCCUAUCAGAGGUCUCAACGUUCAGUACUACUUUCCCUGCUAUGAACAGGCCUUUCAGAGGUCUCAACGUUCAGUACUACUUUCCCUGCUAUGAACAGGCCUUUCAGAGGUCUCAACGUUCAGUACUAUCUUCCCUGCUAUGAACGGGCCUUUCAGAGGUCUCAACGUUCAGUACUAUCUCACCUUACUCCUUCCCUGCUAUGAACGGGCCUUUCAGAGGUCUCAACGUUCAAUCUUCCCGUCGCUGUUGUCGCCGCGGUGCACGGGGCCGCCGGUACCGCUGCACCGCGGCUCCAGCACACACUCGCGUGCCUCCCCUGUGGGCCAUUAAGCUGCCGUGUCCGCCCACCACCACCCGCCCCUGGAGACGCCCCUCGCCACGAUAUUCCGGAAUUCACAUUUUGCAGCUUUUAAUAUUAGCACAGUAAAUUUUUAAGUUAAAGGGAAGAAAAUUUAUGUUCCUACGAAGGCGAGGCGUCGGUGGUGACCUGGUGGGCUACGAGACCAGGUGACCCCCUGUGGCGGCGACCCCAGCGGCGGGCUAUGACCCUGCCGGCGGUGCCGCGUGGUGGUCGCGUCCUGGCGCCUCCACGCAGCCCGCCGCGCCCUCUGCUCUAAAAGAUGGACUCAUAAAAGUCUCGCGUCGUCGCCGGGAGGACGCCCAUUAACCGCUCCAGCUGAGAGGCGUAAAACAACAAAGAAACCUCCGCAUUUACGACCCGGAAGCCGCGCCUCAAGUGGGCAUUAGUCCGCCGCCUCGGUUGACGUAAUUAAUUCUAGCGCCGUUCACCUCGCAUUAAUCUUCUCGUAAAGUAAGUUUUAAAAAUAUAAUCUCCCUCGUAAAAGGACUCCCACCUGAGGAUGCUUGUCGGGGGAGCAUUUUCUUCGCACACGACCCACAAGUUAGGCCGCGCUGAGCUGCCCCAACAGGCGGGUGGAGGCAGCGAGCGGAAGGCGCGGCGCUGCAACUCCACGGGUUUACGUCGCGCUGUAUCACUAUCACGAAGCGCGCCGCCCCGCCCCCGACGUGCGGCCGCUCAAGAGCCAGGCGGGGCGGAAAGGGACAUAAACACCUUAAGACAUAAAUACCGCCAGCCGCGUUCCUCGCCCUGGUACAAACGAGUGUUCAAGAAGGCUUAGAGACCGCCAUCCCCGCGCCUUCUGCAGUGUGGCUUGCCGCCCGCGGGAAAACUCUGGAGGCAAGGGAAAACCAACACUCGGAUGGAAUGUACAGACGAAGGAACAGAAAGUGGAGUUAUAUGAAGGAAAUAAAACAAAAGGCGGACGAAAUGUAUAGACGAAGUAACAGAAAGAGGAGUUAUAUGAGGGAAAUAAAACAAAAGUCGGACGAAAUAUAUAGACGAAGUAACAGAAAGUAGAGUUUUAUGAGGGAAAAGAAAAGUCACAAGGACGAAAUGUACACACGAAAGUAACAUAAAGAAAAGUUACAUGGAGAAAAAGAAAGCAGUUGGACAGAAUGUAUAGACGAAGUAACAGAAAGAGGAGUUACCGUAUAUGAGGAAAACAAAAGACAGUCGAAAUUAAUGCACAGACGAAAUUUUAUAAGGAAGUGAUUUUUUUUUUUUUUGAAAGUAUAGUAAAAACAGCGACGAUGAUAAAUUUGAUGUUCUCAGCAAAUUGUAAAAAACGGAAUGAAAUUGAAAGAUGGAAAAGUCAUUGAAAUAUAGCGUGAAAAGAACCCAAUGUAAAAGACACACCCAAAUAUGACAAUCCAAUACCUUACAGACGAUGACAAUGAAAGGUUCAGGAGAAGAAGAAGAGAGAGGAGGAAGGAGUGUAGUUUUAAGAAAGUACUAACCCUAAUUUUACUAACCCUUAUAGUCGUUUAAUUUCCCGUUACUUUUAAGAGAUUUAGAAUUGCCACAUAAUCAUAGUUUUAGCAGCGUCAUUUCCGGUGAUCGAGUCUUUUGUCAGAGCCGGGAAGAACGAAUUGUUGAAGAAUCCGCCCGGUAAGGUAAGGUUAGGUUAGGUUAGGCGAGGGUCGAAUGAGGAACGACGGUACACACACACACACACACACACACACACACACACACACACACACACACACACACACACACACACACACACUCCCUCACCGCAUAUCCUCAACACCCUCUUCCUCUAACCAACGUACGAUAACAGCAUUCACUAAUCCUACACUUAAGAUACCAUUAACUCCUGCCUAUUUAGCUAAACCCUCAAGUCUAAUACCUACCACUAGCAAUACUCUUAUAACCCGUCGUUAGUGCUGCUGUGGAGAAAGCUGAUGCGAGAAACCUAACUCAGAGUAGUGCAUGAGGUAGCGUUAACACACCUAAGGCCAUGUUAUUAAACCCUUCGGAGCCUUGGUACAUCUAUUCCAAAAAGGCGCUCUCUCGUGAAAACUGUCGGGGUAUCCAUUUCCCGGUUUCACGACCCCGGGCGGUAGUUUUGCGAGGCUUCCGCGCUUUGAACGGGGUAACAACUCAAGACAACCCGACCUAGCUCCUCUCUGGCCUUAGGGAAUAGCCGUAUCAAGAACCCGAAGCGUCUGAUAAUCCCGGUCCAAGUCAUAUCAAGCUACUAACCUCCCACCGCACCAGCCACGCCGCGUCGGAAGGACCUCACCUGUCACGCCGCACCACUCUGCACCUCUAACACGAGAACAUCACCAUAUCAGGCUAACCCAAGUGUCGAUGAGGGCCUCCCGCAUCCACUGUGAACCAUAUCUUACUAACAAACCUUACCAAUCCACUUGUAACAUUAUCUAACAUGACCAUAUCUUCAAGUAGGGUCCUUUUUCAUUCUUUCCUUUAUUUUUCUUGCCCUUGAAGUGUUUCCUCUACUGUAACCCAUUAGAACGACACCAUUUCACGAGAAUCUUAUCAGUAACCAAUCAAACUACACUUAUCAAUUAGUCUUUUGAACUUGUCCAUGUCUUUAAACUAUUAGGACGGCAGAACUUUACUCAGAAUCUUUCCUUUUACUUAAACUUACUAAUAACUUUACCAGAAUCUUAUCAGUAACCAAUCGGAGUACACUUAUCACUUAAUCUAUUGAACUUGACCAUAUCUUUCAACUAUUAGGACGAGAGAACUUUACCAGAAUCUUAUCUUUUACUUAAACUUAACAACUUUACCAGAAUCUUAUUUAUUCUUAACUUACUGAAACCUUUGCCACUAUACUUACAAACUUAAUCUUUUGAACUUGACCAUAUCUCUCAACUUUUAGGAGGACAGAACUUUACAUAGAGUCUUAUCUACACGGAAACUUAUUUACUUAACCAUAAUCAUAUCUAACUGACACUCAUUAGGACGAUAUUUAACCCUUCCAGAAUCAUAUCUUAGAAUUAUUAUUAGGACGAAACUUAAUUAUAACUGUUUCAGAACCAUAUCUUACAGCUCUUAGUACGCCACAAUCUUACCAGCAUCAUAUCUUACUAACUUAUCUUUCUUAUUCCCUUCCCUUACUUAGAUAUUUCCCUUACUUUCUUACCCUUGCCAGAGUCAUAUAUUAAAACCAUUAGUACGAAUCAUAUCUUAUUAACUUUUCUUAUUUACUAACUUCCCUUGCUUAUGUACUUCCUUAACUAGUACUACGCAAUCUUACACUUACUUACCCUCACCAUAUCUUACAAGCCUUUAGUUUAUACGUCACAAUCUUACUAACUACCCUUUAGAUUUCACUUACUCACCCUUUCCUUAAGCAUAUCUUACUAACAACCCUUUAAACUACACUUACCCUUACUAGAACCAUCUUACUAACAGCCACUAGCACUAAACUUACUUAACCUUCCCUGCAAGUCGAUUAAGAUAAAGAGGCGCAAUGUUACAUCGAAAACCCACCCACGGACACACACUGAGGAUGUUAAAAAGUCAUAUCAACACUCACACACACACGAACAGGGCAGCAUCUACAUCAAGGAACCCACAUGGAACCACUCUAGGCAGGCACAUAUUUGGGGUGUUAUCGAUAUUACAAGUUACAUAAGGGGUCACUUAAUACACAUAAUCAGACAGCUUUUACAUCAAGGAACCAAAGCACAUGCAGAUAAAUAUACUUGGGGGGUGUUACUGUAGUUAUCUGAAGCCUCACUAAUACCUCACUAACCCUGUCACGACUCAACCCUGCAUUGGCACCUAAUAUACCCUGUUUCCCUUCACCUCACCUCCCUGCCACAGAGCUCACACCACCUGGCCAUAACCUCGCAUCCCCCUCUCUCACUCUGCAUCCCACGACCACCAACAGAAAUUAAUACAGAAGCGAACACACCUGUACCCGAAAACAAUAACAACAACCCAUUCACACGAGCAACCGUCCAGAAGAGAUCCGUAUCAUCCGACCGGGAAAUUGGACAGAAAAGGAAGCACAGAGCAACAUCCCGUAUCCCCCCCAACACACAUACACACACACGCACACGACCAGCACGCACAGGAUAGAUUAGGGUAAGCCAACAGGACGCAUCCAUCCCCUACCAAUACCGACAAACACUCGACAACGGCGCCAACACGUCACGACACGUUUUGCUGCCUCCCUCCCUCCCGGACUGAGCGGCAGGGUUCGGUGAGCUUUUGGGAUCGUCGGAAAUUGAAAGCCGGCAAGGAAAAUAGAAUGUACCGGCGUUUAUUUGGGACCAAGCUUAAAAUAGAAGACGCUGUUGUUGUGGAGGAGAGACAGUUAACCCGGUGAACAGAGCAAUAUGUGACCAUUUUGACGUGACAGCGGUGUGGCUACAAGAACAGUCCCUCACAGCAACGACUUUAUCAAUCACACUCCCUUUUGUUAGCUAUUCCUUUCCACUGUUAAGUCCUCGAUGCUAAACAACAUAUCGCUAGCGUGCUGUACCUUCAUUGCGCAAAACCCUGUACCUUACCUCUAGUUCUGCUGUCAGUUCCAUAAAUACGCGCUUGUUUCUGCUUUCCGUUAGGGCAGAGUAUCAGCUGACGGUCGUGGGUGAAGGCUAUAGAGUGUGUAUGUCUGUGUGUUGGCCGCCUUCCCCGCCGAGGCUGCCGCUCAUAGGAAUUUCGGGGCUUGUCUCGGCGCCUUCGUGGAGUCUUUGAUGCCUGGAAAUCUCAUGCAUUUUACAGUCGGGCGUCGCCUCGGCUUCACGGUCUGGGCGAGGCGGCUUUCAUCCCUCGCAGCUUUUAUCUUAUUUUUCCGGCCGUGUCAAACUUAGCGCCCGCCUGAGGCUUUCCCGCGCUGCCGCCGCCCCAUGCUGCGUCUUCUGCUCGUUCUGAUACUGCGUGCGAUCUCUUUGUCUCGUCCGCUCACCGCCGUGUUCGUCAGCAAAACCUUAACAAUCUUGCUACUCGCUGAAUUACUACUACUACUACUACUACUACUACUACUACUACUACUACUAUUACUACCUCUGUUACUGUCACAACUACCACUGUUACUACAUCUACUACUACUACUAGCUACUACUACUAUCAAUGUUCCUACUACUACUAUUACAACCACCACUGUUACAAAAUAGCAUAAACAUAAUCCAACUCACUACUACGACUACUACAAUAACCACAACUAUACCGUGUUAUCCUGUAGGCUCAUUAUGGGAUUAAAUGAAACAUAUCUUGUACCUUGUGUGUGUGUAGACCAUCUCAUGUGGACGAACUGCAGUCAGGGGAACGCCAAGGGGAUGGAGGCUGGGAGGAGGGGUGAGAAGGGUAGCAUGGGAUAAAGCAGCCAGCCAGAAUGAGGAUUGGAGUGGAGGGGAGUGAGCCAUGCUGAGUACAGACUGUGGUGGCAGGGUACGUGGGGAGCUUGGGUGUGACAGGUUGAAAGACUAAGGGACUGGAAGAAGGGGUUAGGUUGUAGAAUAGAGGAAUGGGAGGACGGAGGGACAGAAGAGGUGCUAGAAGACGAGAUGGGAUAGGAAAACAGGGAUGAUGGAAUAGGUUACAAUACUAGGGGAAUGGAAGGAGAGGUGGGAUGGGAGAAUAGAGGAAUGGAAAAACAGCGGAAUGGAAGAAGAGGGAUAGGAGAGGUGCCAGAAAAGGACGUAGAAUAUUAAAACAGAAAGGAUGGGAGACACUGAGAUAGGAGGGUGUGGGAAAAGGAAGAGAUAUGGAGAUGAAGGAAUGAAUGGGAGGGAGGUAGAAGGGAUGGGAAGUAGAAAAGAAGAGAUGGGAGGUAACCUGAUGUAGAAUUAUGGGAAAGGAACCGACGUAUAGUGCCCAAAAGACGAGACAUGCAAUGCUUUUGAUGUUUGUGAGGUGUGGAGGAGAGGGAGCAUGGAGGAGGAGAAAGGAAGGGAGAGAAGAGGAAGGGAGAAGGGAGAAAGAAGAAAUAUAAAGAAAUGCACGAUAGAAGAGAAAAAAGGAUUAUAAAUGAACGAGACAAAGAAGACAAAGAGGAGAAAGAGGAAAGAGAAGUGUACCAUCUUAACGUUUAGGAAUUAAGGAAGAAAAUAGAGGAAAAGGAAAACAAGAAAGAGGGAGAAGGAGAAGAAGAAGGAGAAAGGAGAACAGCAGAAAAAGUAGAAGGGAAAAAAAGUUGACGAGGAGAAGGAGGAGGAGGAGAAGACGAGGAGGCAGAGAAGGAAAACAAGAACGAAGAGAAGGAGGAGAAAGAGGGAGAAAGAGAAGAAGGAGAAGGAAUAACAGCAGAAAAAGUAGAAAGAAAAAAAAGUUGACGAGGAGGAGAAGGAGGAGGAGAAGACGAGGAGGAGGACGAGGGUGAGAAGGGACAGAGAACAGACUACCGUACCCUCAAUGUUUUAACGUCACGCUGUGCUAACAUACGAUACGUGGAAGGGUUGGGUUGUUUUCUCAGGCGCAGCGUCAGACAUUAGCGAGAGUAGGCGAAGGUUGCAAGUGUGUUUACCAUCCGUGAAACUUGAGGAAAAUAUAAAAAAAUGCCGAACGAAAGGAGAACGAAGGAGCUGGUGCCAAGAACGUAACUGAUUGAGAUGUUUGAGAGAGUAGGCGAAGGUUGCAAGUGUGUUUACCAUCCGAGAAACUUGAGGAAAAUAUAAAAAAAAGCCGAACGCAAGGAGAACGAAGGAGCUGGUGCCAAGAACGUAACUGAUUGAGAUAUUUGCGAGAGUAGGCGAAGGUUGCAAGUGUGUUUACCAUCCGAGAAACUUGAGGAAAAUAUAAAAAAAAUGCCGAACGAAAGGAGAACGAAGGAGCUGGUGCCAAGAACGUAACUGAUUGAGAUAUUUGCGAGAGUAUCCGAGUGUGUUACGAGUGUGUUUACCAUCUGACAUACUGAGGAAACUAUAAAUAAAAUACGAAAGAAAAGAAAGAGAAAGAACUAGUGCCAACAAUCUUUUUAUCGUUUCAUAAUGAGUUAGAUAAUUGAAAAGGUAGAUAGAGAGAGAAAGUAAAGGAAGAAAAAGCAUAGUACAAGCAAAGCAUAUGAUCCUCCCAGCCUCAGAUUAAGUUAGACUAUUGAUAAAAAGUAUACAGAUGAAAGAAAAAAUGAAGAAAGAAAUGAAAAGGAAGAAAUAGCAGAGUACAAACAAGGUAACUGAUUUUCCAAGCCUCAAAUGAAGUUAAAUUCUAUCAAAAGCAGAAAAAAAAUGUAAUAAUUCAAAUACAGAUUCACAAUAAACAAAAAAAGACAAGAAAAGAAAAGAAAAAGAAAGAAAGAAAGAGAGAGAGAGAGAGAGAGAGAGAGAGAGAGAGAGAGAGAGAGAGAGAGAGAGAGAGAGAGAGAGAGAGAGAGAGAGAGAGAGAGCGUGCGUAAACGUGAGACGAUCUGUGAAGUGCCUGAACGAGAUAACCAGUGGAGCGGGGAGGGUACACACACACACACACACACACACACACACACACACACACACACACACACACACACACACACGUAAAGCGAACCCUCCACUCGUUACGUCACAAAUGCUAAGAAGAUUUUGAAUGUAAGGGAUUUGCAAGUCGAGGAAAGAGGAGGAGGAAAAGAAAGAAAAAAAAAUAGAGGUUGCUUUGGAAGAGAAAAAAAAGAUUUGAAACACAGAUAGAAGUCGCGUUAUUGAAGGAAAGAAUAAAAAGAGAGAGAACCAACUGGAAGCUAUCAUUGUAGAGUAAAAAAAAAAAGAGAGAGAGAGAGAGAGAGAGAGAGAGAGAGAGAGAGAGAGAGAGAGAGAGAGAGAGAGAGAGAGAGAGAGAGAGAGAGAGAGAGAGAGAGAGAGAGAGAGAGAGAGAGGAAAGAAAAAGAUGAAAAAAAGUCGGUGAACACACAACUGAUGCUUCGGUACAGAGAGGUGAAUAGGAGGAGGAGGAGGAGGAGGAGGAGGAGGAGAGGAGGAGGAGGAGAGGAGGAGGAGAAGACACAUGAAAAGGCAAGUUGAAAAUAUUUACAUACAAGAAGAGGAAAAAAAGAGACCCACGUAUCUACCAGAGUCGAAAGUUGGAUAGAAAAUGAAAAAGCAAAGUACGUAGGAAAAAUGAGAAAGAUUGAAGGAAAAAAACAUCCAGUACUUACUAUCCUACAAGCUAUCCUACACUCCUACUAUCCUACAAACUAUCCUACACUCCUACUAUCCUACAAGCUAUCCUACACUCCUACUAUCCUACAAGCUAUCCUACACUCCUACUAUCCUACAAGCUAUCCUACACUCCUACUAUCCUACAAACUAUCCUACAAACGGAGACUUAGGAGAGGAAUGUAAAAAAAAUAAGAGAAAUGAAGGCGAAAAAAAUACAGUAGUCGGGUGAAAAAUGGAAAAUGGAAAGUGCGUGUCUGAAAAAAAAGGAGUAAGAUUGAAGGAAAAAAAACAUCUUGUACUCACUAUCUACAAACAGAGACAGAGGAAUGAUAUUAAAAAAAAAAAAGAGAUAAAUAAAGACGAAUAAAAAAAUAUAGUAGUCGGGUGAAAAAUGGAAAAUGGAAAGCGUGUGUCGGGAAAAAAUGAGAAAGAUUGAAGGGGGAAAAAACACACGAUGUACUUCCUAUCAAUGUACAAACGGAGGCAGUGAAUAGGAACGAUGAAAAGUGAGAAACGAAGAAAAAAAAAACACUAGGAUGAGGCCACGGAAAUCAAAACAAAGCCAAAACCAAAAAACUUAGGCAGGAAAAGGAAAACAAGAACAACAACAUAUCAUACCACAAAAAAGAAUGCGCUAGUAUCUAAAAACAAAAACAAAAUUAAUGGAAAAAAUACAAAAACAGAG